GACGAACGCUGGCGGCGUGCUUAACACAUGCCAGUCGAACGGAAAGGCCCUGCUUUUGUGGGGUGCUCGAGUGGCGAACGGGUGAGUAACACGUGAGUAACCUGCCCUUGACUUUGGGAUAACUUCAGGAAACUGGGGCUAAUACCGGAUAGGAGCUCCUGCUGCAUGGUGGGGGUUGGAAAGUUUCGGCGGUUGGGGAUGGACUCGCGGCUUAUCAGCUUGUUGGUGGGGUAGUGGCUUACCAAGGCUUUUACGGGUAGCCGGCCUGAGAGGGUGACCGGCCACAUUGGGACUGAGAUACGGCCCAGACUCCUACGGGAGGCAGCAGUGGGGAAUAUUGCACAAUGGGCGGAAGCCUGAUGCAGCAACGCCGCGUGCGGGAUGACGGCCUUCGGGUUGUAAACCGCUUUCGCCUGUGACGAAGCGUGAGUGACGGUAAUGGGUAAAGAAGCACCGGCUAACUACGUG
rnacentral:rRNA from 1 species